ACGAACGCUGGCGGCGUGCUUAACACAUGCAAGUCGAACGGAAAGGCCCUGCUUUUGUGGGGUGCUCGAGUGGCGAACGGGUGAGUAACACGUGAGUAACCUGCCCUUGACUUUGGGAUAACUUCAGGAAACUGGGGCUAAUACCGGAUAGGAGCUCCUGCUGCAUGGUGGGGGUUGGAAAGUUUCGGCGGUUGGGGAUGGACUCGCGGCUUAUCAGCUUGUUGGUGGGGUAGUGGCUUACCAAGGCUUUGACGGGUAGCCGGCCUGAGAGGGUGACCGGCCACAUUGGGACUGAGAUACGGCCCAGACUCCUACGGGAGGCAGCAGUGGGGAAUAUUGCACAAUGGGCGGAAGCCUGAUGCAGCAACGCCGCGUGCGGGAUGACGGCCUUCGGGUUGUAAACCGCUUUCGCCUGUGACGAAGCGUGAGUGGCGGUAAUGGGUAAAGAAGCACCGGCUAACUACGU
rnacentral:rRNA from 1 species